GAGUUUACGCUCUAUAACCCUUUGUGAACAUACCUAUAACUGUUGCUUCGGCGGGUAGGGUCUCCGUGACCCUCCCGGCCUCCCGCCCCCGGGCGGGUCGGCGCCCGCCGGAGGGUAACCAAACUCUGAUUUAACGACGUUUCUUCUGAGUGGUACAAGCAAAUAAUCAAAACUUUUAACAACGGAUCUCUUGGUUCUGGCAUCGAUGAAGAACGCAGCGAAAUGCGAUAAGUAAUGUGAAUUGCAGAAUUCAGUGAAUCAUCGAAUCUUUGAACGCACAUUGCGCCCGCCAGCAUUCUGGCGGGCAUGCCUGUUCGAGCGUCAUUUCAACCCUCAAGCUCUGCUUGGUGUUGGGGCCCUACAGCUGAUGUAGGCCCUCAAAGGUAGUGGCGGACCCUCCCGGAGCCUCCUUUGCGUAGUAACUUUACGUCUCGCACUGGGAUCCGGAGGGACUCUUGCCGUAAAACCCCCAAUUUUCCAAAGGUUGACCUCGGAUCAGGUAGGAAUACCCGCUGAACUUAAGC
rnacentral:rRNA from 1 species